GGCCCUAUGGUCAAGCGGUUAAGACAUCGCCCUUUCACGGCGGUAUCCCGGGUUCAAAUCCCGGUAGGGUCA
rfam:Anaerococcus vaginalis ATCC 51170 genomic scaffold SCAFFOLD1, whole genome shotgun sequence.